rnacentral:rRNA from 1 species
UGGGGAAUAUUGCACAAUGGGCGCAAGCCUGAUGCAGCGACGCCGCGUGAGGGAUGGAGGCCUUCGGGUUGUAAACCUCUUUCGCCAGUGAAGCAGGCCAUCUUCUUUGUGGGGUGGUUGACGGUAGCUGGAUAAGAAGCGCCGGCUAACUACGUGCCAGCAGCCGCGGUAAUACGUAGGGCGCGAGCGUUGUCCGGAAAUAUUGGGCGUAAAGAGCUCGUAGGCGGCUGGUCGCGUCUGUCGAGUAAUCCCCUGGCUUAACUGGGAGCUUGCGGUGGGUACGGGCCAGCUUGAGUUCGGGAGGGGAGACUGGAAUUCCUGGUGUAGCGGUGGAAUGCGCAGAUAUCAGGAGGAACACCGGUGGCGAAGGCGGGUCUCUGGGCCGUUACUGACGCUGAGGAGCGAAAGCGUGGGGAGCGAACAGG